rnacentral:rRNA from 1 species
UACGUAGGGAGCAAGCGUUGUCCGGAAUCAUUGGGCGUAAAGAGCGCGUAGGCGGCCCUGUAAGUCCGUUCUGAAAGUCAAAGGCUCAACCUUUGAAAGCGGAUGGAUACUGCAGGGCUAGAGUCCGGAAGAGGCGAGUGGAAUUCCUGGUGUAGCGGUGGAAUGCGCAGAUAUCAGGAGGAACACCAACGGCGAAGGCAGCUCGCUGGGACGGUACUGACACUGAGGCGCAAAAGCGUGGGGAGCAAACAGG